ensembl:snoRNA SNORD35A small nucleolar RNA, C/D box 35A
GGCAGAUGAUGUCUUUCUCACGAUGGUCUGCGGAUGCCUCUGUGGGCAGUGCCGAUAUCACCAAUGGUUCAGCUGAUGCCAGGAC